rnacentral:rRNA from 1 species
UACGUAGGGUGCGAGCGUUGUCCGGAAUUAUUGGGCGUAAAGAGCUUGUAGGCGGUUUGUCGCGUCUGCUGUGAAAUCUCAAGGCUCAACCUUGAGCUUGCAGUGGGUACGGGCAGACUAGAGUGUGGUAGGGGAGACUGGAAUUCCUGGUGUAGCGGUGAAAUGCGCAGAUAUCAGGAGGAACACCGGUGGCGAAGGCGGUUCUCUGGGCAUGAUCUGACGUGAGGAGCGAAAGUGUGGGGAGCGAACAGG